rnacentral:lncRNA from 1 species
CACAAAUUUUAAUGUACCAUAUUUUCAACAAGUAUGAGUCAGAAUUUGGAACUAUUUUUAGGGCUUAGACGAGUUCAACCUUGAGAAGUGUUCGUGUUUUUGUAGGGAAAAUGGUGAAUCCAAAACUUUUCGUCGCCGUGUUUCCCUAUCCGGGAGUUGAAAUCAUCGAUGGUUUAAAAAUAGGACAUUAAUGUAUUUCAAAGGACCGCUUCCAUGGGUUUUGUCCAUUAAGGGAGAUCGAUUGUACCUGGAAAUGAUAUUAUACUUUAUAUAUAAUUAUUUAUUCAUUAUAAUCUGAAUAGAUAUAAUUAUUUCCUGAUAAUAGGCUUAAUUUUAUAAUCCAGGAUUGUGAUAUGUAUAAAUUUCAUAAGUUGAAUAUUGUAAAAAGCUCUUAAUGAAUGAAUGAAUUCCUUCAUUAUGUUUAAGAAAUUAUAAAAAAGGAUUAUAAAUGCUCCUCGAGUUAGAAACAUUCCAGUUACGAACAUUCGUACUUACGAAUGUGAAAUUUAAUUUUCAAAUUUCAAAAAUCUUCAGGAAUUCUAAACAUUAUGAUAGUAGAAUGCUCUACCAAUCAAUAUCAUGUAAAAUUACACAAUUAAUUAAUAUAUUAUGGCAGUAUUUUAUGUUGAUAGUGAUUACAGCAAAAGACCCUUGCUUUAUAAUUGGAAUUUUUCAUUCAAAUAUGUGAAAUAAAAAACUUCUAAUUAAUUCAGAUGCGAAAUAUAUUACAAAUUACUAUAUAUUUCAGUACUUUUGAAGCCAAAUAAUAAACGGUAUCUGAGUUAUGAAUAACUCAAGUUAUG